ensembl:lncRNA
GCUGUAUGCGUGGACUACAACUAAAAUAAAUAUUUAAAAAAAAAAAAANNNNNNNNNNNNNNNNNNNNNNNNNNNNNNNNNNNNNNNNNNCUUGACCAAGGAUUCAGUACUUCCCGCAUUAGAUUGCUUUCCUCCCGCACUUCCUAAUUCUGAUAAUUAACAAAAUCUUCCGUGCAGUUCCUUCUAUACAUGUAAUACAAUUAAAAAAGAAGAAAAGAAAAGAAAAGAAAAGAAAGAAAGAAAGAAAGAAAGAAAGAAAGAAAGAAAGAAAGAAAGAAAGAAAGAAAGAAAGAAAAAGAAANAACGAAGAGGGGUGCCUGGCUGGCUCAGCCGGUGGAGCAGGCCGCACUCGUGAUCUUGGGGCUGUGAGAGGGAGCCCCACGCUGGGGGUAGAGAUCAUUUAAAAAAAAUGUUUUUUUAUUUUUAAAAAUAUAGUAUAAAUAAUGCAGCGUUUUCUAAGGGAGUUUGCGUCCAACCAGUAUCUCAAGAGCUUAGAAAGGGUUGGGUCUGCUUCCGAUUCACUGAGCAAGCAUCAAUCCUGCAGCCACCUCCCGGCUCCCAGGUUGGAGCGGCGGCUCCCAGCAGGGCCCGCAGCAGCGGGUGCGUCUGGGAGGAAAGGGGUGGCAACCGGGGGCGGGGGCAGGUCCCCACGACCGCAGCGGCGGGAGCGCGCGGCGCCGGAGGAGUUGCCAGGUGCCGGGGGCGGUGUCUGCCAGGCUGACGGGGUCCAGAAGCCUCGUAAGAAGGCUUGGCGGGUGCUCCCAGAGAGAGGCGGAGGGGCCCCGAGGGGGCGGCCGGGGAGCGCGCGGUGGGCCGCGGCCCGCGCCCAGAGCCGUUGCUGCACACCUGGGCGCUGAACCGCCGCGGGGGGCGGGGGCGGGGGGCUGCGCCGGGGGAGGGGAAGAAGGGAUGGGCCAAGUCGCUGGGGGACGGCGGGGUCCCCGCAAUAAGUCGCCCCCGCACCCAGUGACAUCUCCAGCUCCACAACGCCUCUCCUCGAUCCGCACUGGAAGCCCCCUCCUUCCCUCGCACAAGGCGGGUGAAAGGCCCCGCGGGUCCCUUAGUCUCACUUACCUGCGACCCAGGACCCAACCUGAACACCUGCGGCACCUCACGCUGAGGACCUGGAACCCUCCUCGGCCACCUGCGCGCACCCACCCGGAUCCACUAGGGCCGAAACCACUUCCGGUCCUGCGGCGGGCUGGAGGACGUAAACCUAGCAGGGAGGUACGCAUGGGCGGCGCCAUGUCGUACGGAAGCUGCUGGGCCAGCUGUUCCCUCCCCAGUUUCUCCACUGCUGAACAAAGGAUUUGGAGAACAUGUGAAAGAAUGGAUUCUUUUUUUCCAGGAAGAAAAUAAACAAGGAAGACAAUCUAACACCAGAUUCAGUUGAAUUAUUAACCAAUUCAAUUCAAUUGAUGAGCACUUUUACCACAAUUCUAGAGUUAAUGUGCUAGCUUGUGUGGCUGGAAAUGGCUCUAAUGGUUGAUUGAAACUUUAAGUAGUGGCCUACAUUCAAUGAAGUUGAGAUGCAAGAACUUGCUGGUAUGACUUAAAAGAAGGAAUUCAAGAUCUUAAGGAGAUAGAAAUGUUGGAGUAGAUCUAUCAUGUAUGUAUUGCCACUCCCUCACUAUUUCAGAGGAUACUCUCUCCACUAAGGCAUUGAGAAAUAAAUUGGUGGUUGGGCACCA